rnacentral:lncRNA from 1 species
GCCCACAAGAGACAAAAAUGACACAGACAUUAACAACUAUAGGUCACCGUACGGCCUUCAACAAUGAGCAACGCCAAUACCCCAUAGUCAUUUAUAAAAGGCCCCGAUAUGACAAUGUAAAACAAUUCAAACGAGAAAACUGACAGCCUUAUUUAUAUAAAAAAAGGAACGAAAAACAAAUAUGUAACACAUAAACAAACGAC